rnacentral:tRNA from 1 species
AUUAAAUUGGCAGAUAAAUGCAUUAGAAUUAGAAUCUAAUUAAACUAAUAUCUUAGUAAGCUU